GGAAAAGCUCAAAUUUAAAAUCUGAGGGUCUUACGGCCUUCCGAGUUGUAAUCUAGAGAAGUGCUAUCCGCGCUGGACCGUGUACAAGUCUCCUGGAACGGAGCGUCAUAGAGGGUGAGAAUCCCGUCUUUGACACGGACUACCAGGGCUUUUGUGAUGCGCUCUCAAAGAGUCGAGUUGUUUGGGAAUGCAGCUCUAAAUGGGUGGUAAAUUCCAUCUAAAGCUAAAUAUUGGCGAGAGACCGAUAGCGAACAAGUACCGUGAGGGAAAGAUGAAAAGAACUUUGGAAAGAGAGUUAAACAGUACGUGAAAUUGUUGAAAGGGAAACGCUUGAAGUCAGUCGCGUUGGCCAGGAAUCAACCUUGCUUUUGCUUGGCGUACUUUCUGGUUAACGGGUCAGCAUCAAUUUUGAUCGGUGGAUAAAGAUCAGGGGAAUGUGGCAUCUUCGGAUGUGUUAUAGACUCUGGUCGCAUACAUCGGUUGGGAUUGAGGAACUCAGCACGCC
rnacentral:rRNA from 1 species